rnacentral:lncRNA from 1 species
ACACUCAGCAUUUGGCAUUUGAUGGGUGUUAUAUACGCAAUGGAGGCAGAUUUGGGGCACAGAGAUGGAGAAAACUGAAUUGUGCCACACAAUUGAGUUGGAAUUCUGACUCCCCAGAGGCAAUCCAGGAGACAGGGGUUUCCCAGGGAGCAGGAAGAAACACUGAUCCCACUAUCCAUGUGAGAAUAGGAUACACAGCAUUAAGAAACUCUCUGGCUCACACUAACCACCUGCCUUGAGCCAAGGUUUUGUCCACUGCUGGGGGUCAGACAGGUCUGGGAAUGUCUAAUGGACUAGAAGGGUAGCCCAACAAAGGAAUGUUUGCAUGGAAGCUGGUAGCCUCAUUGCUGAAUCUGAAGAUGAACAUACAUUGUGACUUGGCAACUGACAUCCUUCAAGUCAACUUUCAUGGGGGCUAAAGAAACUCACGGAUGGUCAUUUAUUACAAGGAGACAAAGAGGAAAGCACAACAAACAGGUCUGGCAACAAAGCCAGGGAUGUGAGCGUUGAUUGCAAAUAUAUUACUGGAGCAAUUAGUCAAACAUCUGUGGACUGGACCCAUGGACAUGUCUGGGCUCUAGUUUAGAUAGAUAAAGAUUUGUUGAAGUUGCUUAUCAGCUUAAGGAGAUUUUGGGCUGAGACAAUGGGGUUUUCUAGAUAUACAAUCAUGUCGUCUCCAAACAGGGACAAUUUGACUUCCUCUUUUCCUAAUUGAAUACACUUUAUUUCCUUCUCCUGCCUAAUUGCCCUGGCCAGAACUUCCAACACUAUGUUGAAUAGGAGUGGUGAGAGAGGGCAUCCCUGUCUUGUGCCAGUUUUCAAAGGGAAUGCUUCCAGUUUUUGCCCAUUCAGUAUGAUAUUGGCUGUGGGUUUGUCACAGAUAGCUCUUAUUAUUUUGAAAUACAUCCCAUCAAUACCUAAUUUAUUGAGAGUUUUUAGCAUGAAGGGUUGUUGAAUUUUGUCAAAGGCUUUUUCUGCAUCUAUUGGAUAAUCAUGUGGUUUUUGUCUUUGGCUCUGUUUAUAUGCUGGAUUACAUUUAUUGAUUUGCGUAUAUUGAACCAGCCUUGCACUUGAUCAUGGUGGAUAAGCUUUUGAUGUGCUGCUGGAUUCGUUUUGCCAGUAUUUUAUUGAGGAUUUUUGCAUCAAUGAUCAUCAAGGAUAUUGGUCUAAAAUUCUCUUUUUUGGUUGUGUCUCUGCCCGGCUUUGGUAUCAGAAUCAAUGUACAAAAAUCACAAACAUUCUUAUACACCAACAACAGACAAACAGAGAGCCAAAUCAUGAGUGAACUCCCAUUCACAAUUGCUUCAAAGAGAAUAAAAUACCUAGGAAUCCAACUUACAAGGGAUGUGAAGGACCUCUUCAAGGAGAACUACAAACCACUGCUCAAGGAAAUAAAAGAGGAUACAAACAAAUGGAAGAACAUUCCAUGCUCAUGGGAGGAAGAAUCAAUAUCGUGAAAAUGGCCAUACUGCCCAAGGUAAUUUACAGAUUCAAUGCCAUCCCCAUCAAGCUACCAAUGACUUUCUUCACAGAAUUGGAAAAAACUACUUUAAAGUUCCUAUGGAACCAAAAAAGAGCCCACAUCGCCAAGUCAAUCCUCAGCCAAAAGAACAAAGCUGGAGGCAUCACACUACCUGACUUCAAACUAUACUACAAGGCUACAGUAACCAAAACAGCAUGGUACUGGUACCAAAACAGAGAUAUAGAUCAAUGGAACAGAACAGAGCCCUCAGAAAUAAUGCCACAUAUCUACAACUAUCUGAUCUUUGACAAAC